GAUGAACGCUGGCGGCGUGCUUAACACAUGCAAGUCGAACGUGAGGGUGUAGCAAUAUGCCUGAAAGUGGCGAACGGGUGAGUAACACGUGGAUAACCUGCCCUGGAGUGGGGGAUAACCAUUGGAAACGGUGGCUAAUACCGCAUAGAGCUAUUGAUUUGGGAGAAUCGAUAGGGAAAGCUCCGGCGCUCUGGGAGGGGUCUGCGUCCGAUUAGCUAGUUGGUGAGGUAAAGGCUCACCAAGGCGACGAUCGGUAGCUGGUCUGAGAGGACGAUCAGCCACACGGGAACUGAGACACGGUCCCGACUCCUACGGGAGGCAG
rnacentral:rRNA from 1 species